rnacentral:rRNA from 1 species
AUUGAACGCUGGCGGCAUGCCUUACACAUGCAAGUCGAACGGUAACAGGUCUUCGGAUGCUGACGAGUGGCGAACGGGUGAGUAAUACAUCGGAACGUGCCUAGUAGUGGGGGAUAACUACUCGAAAGAGUGGCUAAUACCGCAUGAGAUCUACGGAUGAAAGCAGGGGAUCGCAAGACCUUGUGCUACUAGAGCGGCCGAUGGCAGAUUAGGUAGCUGGUGGGAUAAAAGCUUACCAAGUCGACGAUCUGUAGCUGGUCUGAGAGGACGAUAAGCCACACGGGGACUGAGACACGGCCCAGACUCCUACGGGAGGCAGCAGUGGGGAAUUUUGGACAAUGGGCGCAAGCCUGAUCCAGCAAUGCCGCGUGCAGGAUGAAGGCCUUCGGGUUGUAAACUGCUUUUGUACGGAACGAAAAGCCCCGGGUUAAUACCCUGGGGUCAUGACGGUACCGUAAGAAUAAGCACCGGCUAACUACGUGCCAGCAGCCGCGGUAA